UACGUAGGGGGCAAGCGUUGUCCGGAUUUAUUGGGCGUAAAGAGCGUGUAGGCGGCUAGAUAGGUCCGUUGUGAAAACUCGAGGCUCAACCUCGAGACGUCGAUGGAAACCAUCUGGCUAGAGUCCGGAAGAGGAGAGUGGAAUUCCGUGGUGUAGCGGUGAAAUGCGCAGAUAUCAGGAAGAACACCCGUGGCGAAGGCGGCUCUCUGGUACGUGACUGACGCUGAGACGCGAAAGCGUGGGGAGCAAACAGG
rnacentral:rRNA from 1 species